rnacentral:misc_RNA from 1 species
UUAACUAUUAUAUAGUACUCAGACAUCACUGAUAGAAGAGUUUAGGUCCUCUGGCGGGCACGAUCAGCCAGAGCCGAUGCCUAAAAGGACGGCCCGCCAAAGCAACAAAAGUAAAUAAACAUAGGGUGUAUGAUAUCUCCCUUUCCGAACAGAUGCGUUUUACGGCACCCGAACAGUCCGGUUACAUUAAUGAUCCUUCCGCAGGUUCACCUACGGAAA